UCAUUCAGGCAAAUCAAGCACAUUAAGCAUGGCGGUUUGCAACAUCUUCUUCUUUCUAUUCAUCAUCUUCUUCCUCUUCAUUCACAACUGAUUAUUAAAACCUUCUGCAACAACGGCUCCGGCUUCUGUGUCAGCAGAUUAUGUGCUUUGGAAAUCCAAUUGUGUCCUGUAUGAGUAUGCAUCACUGUGAGGAUGAUAAUGCUAGGGUAACUAAAUCAAAUAUGCAUUUGCGGCUGCUUAUGUUGUAGACGUGAUUCUUGAAGAAAUUUUAAGAAGAAUGUGAUUACCAAUCCAUCGAUCAAUUAUCAAUACCCUUUCUAAAUUCAUUAAG